AUGUACAAUGGAGACCUAUUUAAGUCUUUCUCUCAGAGCUCUACUCAAUGGGGACAUCUUUAGGGGCUCCCUCAUUCAGCACUGGUUGGAUUCUAAUGCUAAUGAACUCUUCUGAAAGAGGGAUCCUGUUUUUGCACAGGGCAAAACAACACUCUUUUCAGUGGGAGCCUUAGUGUACCUGAGCAAAUGAUCGAUCGAAUAUACUUCAGACACCCAGUGAAGAGGAUUGCUGGAUACAGGAGGGGUUGGCUCAAAGGAACAGAACUCUUUUGACAAAUACAGACAGCUUCAGAUCCACUCCA